rnacentral:rRNA from 1 species
CCUACGGGGGGCAGCAGUGGGGAAUAUUGCACAAUGGGGGAAACCCUGAUGCAGCGACGCCGCGUGAGUGAAGAAGUAUUUCGGUACGUAAAGCUCUAUCAGCAGGGAAGAAAAUGACGGUACCUGACUAAGAAGCCCCGGCUAACUACGUGCCAGCAGCCGCGGUAAUACGGAGGGGGCAAGCGUUAUCCGGAGUUACUGGGGGUAAAGGGAGCGUAGACGGCAGCGCAAGUCUGGAGUGAAAUCCCAUGGCUUAACCAUGGAACUGCUUUGGAAACUGGGCAGCUAGAGUGCAGGAGAGGUAAGCGGAAUUCCAAGUGUAGGGGUGAAAUGCGUAGAUAUUAGGAGGAACACCAGUGGCGAAGGCGGCUUACUGGAAUGUAACUGACGUUGAGGCACGAAAGCGUGGGGAGCAAACAGGAUUAGAUACCCCAGUAGUC